AAGCAUGAAAUCUAGUCUAAAUAUGCUUUCUAAAAUCAGUAUGACCACAAUCAAUGGGGUAUUCACAUUACAAUCAAUAAGGUAUUCAAUUGAAUGGGAUGAUUUAUAUAAUUCAGAAAAUCAAAA